GUGCAGCUGCGACGUGAGGUAGGCGAUGGUGCCGGCGCGCUGCUCCAGCUCGGCCGACAGCACGCUCAGCUUGUGGCUCUUCAGCUUCAGCUCCUCCAGAUUUCAGAGCUAACACGAUUGCCCUCCUACCUGAAAUAACUGAAUCUGCCAUGACAGAGAGAGAAACUGCUAUGGAGCUCCUCCCUCCAUGAGCCUGGACCUCAGCUUGAGCUGUGAUUCCCCAACUGCCUCAAAUCACCCCAGGAGUUCUGAGUUCUCUGCAGUUUUGGAGGCCCUGAAACUCCACUAGUCAGAUUUCUGUCCUCAAUCUUCUUUCCACAAGGGCCUGUUGGGAAACAAGCCUCAUAUAAUUCUGCCUUUUAUGCAUGAAAUGGAAGCUUAAUGUAUCUCGGCUUCUAUGCCCUACCUAUGGCUCCUCCUGGAAUUUUCCAACCAGGCUAAUUCAGGCACCAGCCAAACAAUGAGGAAUCUGGCCCUAGUCCAUCCUUCCUCUCUAGGGCUCUGGAACAGUCUGAGUCAUCCCCUCCUGAGCAGGUUGUCCCCAUCUUCUCCCUGAGCCUGUCUCCCCUGCUGCAGCACCUGCGAGAUGCCUAAUCCCAUCUCCAGGACCAGCGCCGUACUUAGAAUGACGCUUGCUUUGCUGCUUCCUCUCUGCUCCUUGAAAAUCCACCCUUGGUUACACAGACUGGCUGCUCUCUUUAGGGUUUUGUGGGCGCUGUCGAAGGAAGGGCCGGGGACAAUUUAUUCUCUGGACAGUUGGUCUCUGGAGCUGGUCAUUAGCAAUGCUCUUUUGCCCAGUGACCAACCCUCUAAAAGUGGCUCAGAAAAUCUGGCCAAAAACUAGACGAGGGAAGCAGCCCCUUGAACAAAGUCCUCCCCUUAUACCCUGCGAGGCCCUCUCUAACCUCAACUGGCGGCUCCUAUUGGUCUUGGAGCCCAGGAAAAGCUUUCAAACAUUAGACACACGGUAUUCUUCACAGGAUUCUUAGAAGACUAGAGAAAUCUGCCAUCUUUCCCCCUCCCCUCCUGGUCCUGAGGAACCAGUCCCAGGAAGAAAGCUCCAUGACCUGGGGCUCUUCAGAGGGAGUAAGAAAGUGUCCCCCCCUCCCCAAGAAAAGUCCCGCUAAAGGGAUGGCUUCUCAUAGUUUGUUUCUAAAGCCUGAUCACCAGGACUUAGUUUCUCAGUGUGCAGUCUCUGGUCUUUGAGGAUUAUGGGACACAGUAUCAGUGUGAGGCUCAGUGUGACAAUAGGGGUCGUGCAGGGGGGAACCUGAAGAGCUUUCUCUGGGGAUGCUCCCGUAGUCAGACUCUUACUGCCGAUUAAUCUGUGUCUUUUUCUGAACCUUGCCUGGGGAACAAAAGGCUGGUGAGGCUGUAAUGUGAUUAAGUGGAAAAAUGAGUACUUGGUGAUGCACUGGAAAUGAAUGGAAAUGAGCCGUGUUUUAGAAGAAAUCAGAUCGGCUCCUAAAUGAUGUCAGAAAAAUAAAUCAUCUUGAACAGAA